GGGGGGGGGGGGGGGGCCGAGCCCCCGCCGGCUGUUUCUCAGCCGGUGGCAGCCCGCGGGAAGCGGGGGUUCCUGCCCCCGCUCCCUCCGCCGCUCAUGGGCGAGGGGCCCGGGCUCCGCCGUGGGCGAAAAAGUUAAGGGAAAAAAAAAAAAAAGAAAAAAAAAGAACAAAAAAAGAGAGAUAAAACAAUAUGGGGCAUACUUGAAGUUCUCUGACCCUCUCGUGCAAAUCCAGUGUGUCCAUCAUCAUUUUGAGGACUUCAGUAUACGUUUGCAGUAUGAGGAUGAGGAAGUUCUCUCAACCAUCUCUUGCACAGACAAGCUCACUGACCAUUUUUCAGUAACUUUUGAGACAAAGAAAAAUGACUAA
rnacentral:lncRNA from 1 species